rnacentral:lncRNA from 1 species
CUCGUCUGUAAAAUGGAUGACGAGAGGACCCACGUUGCAGUGAAAGGGGAUUCCAGGCCACCCUGUGAAAUCACCGUGCGCGGGCAGACAGAAGUCUUGGUGAGGGGCUGGUGUGGAGCAGGAUGCCGCGGGAAUGCCACCAUCGGAUGCGUCAGGGUGGGAAGAAACAAAGGCUGACAACUGCAGCACCAGCCAAACACCUCAGGGAGGCAAUGAAGUGGGACCUGCUCACUGUGAGGGUAUGUAAAGCAUCUAGUAUGGUGGCUAUCAUCACCAUUGUGCACGUGUGCAUGCGGUUGCUUACUCAGGAGGGCAUGUGUGGAUGGAUGGUGG